UACGGAGGGUGCGAGCGUUGUCCGGAUUUAUUGGGUUUAAAGGGUGCGUAGGCGGCCUUUUAAGUCCGGGGUGAAAGCCCGUUGCUCAACAACGGAACUGCCCUGGAUACUGGAAGGCUUGAGUACAGACGAGGUUGGCGGAAUGGACCGAGUAGCGGUGAAAUGCAUAGAUACGGUCCAGAACCCCGAUUGCGAAGGCAGCUGACUAGGCUGUUACUGACGCUGAGGCACGAAAGCGUGGGGAGCGAACAGGAUUAGAUACCCUGGUAGUCCACGCCGUAAACGAUGGAUACUCGCUGCGAGCUAAAGAUUGUUCGUGGCUUAGGGAAACCGAUAAGUAUCCCACCUGGGGAGUACGCCGGCAACGGUGAA
rnacentral:rRNA from 1 species